rnacentral:lncRNA from 1 species
CAACCUUUAUUUUUUUAGAAAAAGCGAAAUAAGAAAUUAGGCGUGAAUUGUAAAUCAUCGAAUUUUGUAUUUCAAAUCCAUACAGCCUUUUCCACUCCCCAUUUGUAGGGUUUCCAUUUUUUCUCUUUAUUCUCCUAGACCAGAGGCUAACGUACAUAUUUGCUUUCGCAAGAUUUUUCUAGAUUGGUUUAUCGGGUAUUGGAUUCUCACUAUGCUAAGGCUGCAAAUUUAGAACCCUUGUUAUCUAAUUGUGAUUGUAUAUUUAAAAGAAUGUUGCAGUUGAUCGUAUUGCAUUAUUUUUUUUUCUUAUUAUGAUCUGAAUUGUUCUUUUAUAUCGAUCUCCGUUUUUUAUUAUUUUGUGGAAAGAAUAAGCUAAUUAUUACCCACAAUUUAUUCUUUGCAGGCCCAAAUUCUUAGGUUUAGCAUUGAAUAUUGCAUGUAAGGUUGAAAAUUUUAGGAUUCUGUGUCUGGUUUAGCUAGAGAUGAGUGCGUUGGGGUUUGAUAUUGGAAAUGAGAACUGUGUGAUAGGAGCGGCUAUGCAACGUGGAAUUGAUGUAUUGCUAAAUGAUGAAUCAAAGCGGGAAACUCCGUCUGUGGUUUCAUUUGGUGAAAAGCAGAGGUUUAUGNUUAUUAUUAUUAUUAUUUUUUACAAUACUGUAAUAUGCAAACAUUACAUUGUUCGGUCUUCAACAAAGAACUCAAAAAAUGUUAGACAAUAAAGGGAUCGGACAACCUAGGUUCACAGAAGAAAAAAUGGAGGUUUUCAUGACAUCGCCGAUAGGUAUAAGAAAAUUACUUAAUAAAACAAGUUACUAAUAUCUAGGAAAACAAAAUCGAAGAACAACAACUUGAGUAAAAAUCGAGAGAUAUCAUAAGACAGAGCACAAUUAUCCUAGCAACGUUUCCCUUCAAUUAGUGACCUUCUAUGAAUUAAAGAUUAAAGGAGAUUGUCAACUAUUAAAAAAAAAUAAAAAGAUUGAAGGAGAUUGUCACGACUCAUCCUAUGAGGCUCUACUCACUUUCUACGUGAUAGUCAAUUGACAAAUUGCCUCAGACCCACACUUCACAUUAUCGAUUUACCUGACAUAAUCGAGGCCAUCAAAUAGAGACGGUAGAAGUAAUGCCGUCAACAAAUAAACCUGCACAAGGAUCAUCAAUCAAAAACUGCAAACAAAAGUAGAUGUAGCAAUCACUUUGCCACCUCUAUGGGGCCUCAUUUCAUCAAUAUGUGUCUUUCGUCCAUUGUAUUGCUUAAUGUUCCCCGCGCUGAAUGCACCAAGCAUAGUUAUUAAUUCUGGAAGUUUGAUUGGAAAUCAAAGAAUCGGACCUUGUUUUGAUCAAUAUAUUUGGAUCGUUUUACUAUUGAACUAUCGAUGACCCACUUGAAGAAUUAAGCAGCUGAAGUAAAAACUACCCGAUAGCCCACUAGAUAUUUUUAAAAUUUAGCAAAAUGCAUUAUCCAUGUCUCGAGCAAAAGACCAUGGAAAACGUACCUUUCUCCGAUUGAGCUACCAUCACCAUGUUGAAAAUCACGUUAACAUAUUUUUCUCCUAGAAACAUAUCUUAUAAUUGACUAAAUUACAUAAAAUAUUUUCAAAAUUUUGAAUAUUACGCUUACAAAAUGUUUAGCCCUUGUUUGAUUUUAUUAAAAAUUAUAAAUUUAGUAAAUUUUAAUGAAAUUUAUGAUUGAAAAGUUAACAAAAAUUGUUGAUGUCAUGAAAUAUGUACUUAAAAUUAAUUGUUGAUCUUGAUUUAAAUUUUAUUAACUGUUUAGCUAAAUCAAAACGUGGGCUCAUUUUUUCAAGUGUAUUAAUUAUUAAACAUGCUAUAUUUUUCAUUGCCAAAUUUAAAAUAUAAUGAACAGAAUUUUCAGAAAAAAAGAAAAUAAAUAAAGUGCUGAAUAUUCAUACAAAUAAAUUAUUUAAAUAUUAAAGAAAACAUGAAAAACAUGUAUAGAUCAUUGAUUUAAUUUUUAUAAAAUAGAUAGAAUUUUAGAAUGUAUAUUAUUUCAAUUAUCAAAUGAAUUUGCAAAUUAGGACAUUUUUUUCCUUUUAUCUUCACUUAUUGAACCGCUCACUCAUUGUGUCUACAGUCGAGUGAAUGGGUCGAGUCUGAUAACUAUGAGCUAAAAAUAAUCAAACAUUACAUGGCCAUGGAUACAUUUUUUGCUGUGUGCACGUUUCUUAAAUUGAACAUUGACUCUUAACAACGGAUAUCACAACUCUCGCGAUAAAGAGAAAAAGCAAAAUAAGAAAUUAGGCGUGAAUUGUAAAUCAUCGAAUUUUGUAUUUCAAAUCCAUAAGCCUUUUCCACUCCCCAUUUUUAGGGUUUCCAUUUUUUCUCUUUAUUCUCCCAGACCAGAGGCUAACAUACAUAUUUGCUUUCGCAAGAUUUUUCUAGAUUGGUUUGUCGGGUAUUGGAUUCUCACUAUGCUAAGGCUGCAAAUUUAGAACCCUUGUUAUCUAAUUGUGAUUGUAUAUUUAAAAGAAUGUUGCAGUUGAUCGUAUUGCAUUAUUUUUUUUUCUUAUUAUGAUCUGAAUUGUUCUUUUAUAUCGAUCUCCGUUUUUUAUUAUUUUGUGGAAAGAAUAAGCUAAUUAUUACCCACAAUUUAUUCUUUGCAGGCCCAAAUUCUUAGGUUUAGCAUUGAAUAUUGCAUGUAAGGUUGAAAAUUUUAGGAUUCUGUGUCUGGUUUAGCUAGAGAUGAGUGCGUUGGGGUUUGAUAUUGGAAAUGAGAACUGUGUGAUAGGAGCGGCUAUGCAACGUGGAAUUGAUGUAUUGCUAAAUGAUGAAUCAAAGCGGGAAACUCCGUCUGUGGUUUCAUUUGGUGAAAAGCAGAGGUUUAUGGGAACGGCUGGGGCUGCCUCUGCUACCACGAACCCGAAAUCCACCAUUUCUCAGGUUAAAAGAUUGAUUGGACGGAAAUAUAGCGAGCCCAGUGUGCAGGAUGACCUUAAACUGUUACCUUUCGAUACUUCCGAGGAUCCUGAUGGGGGCAUUUUGAUAAAUUUAAAUUAUAUGAACGAGAAACAGACCUUUACACCGGUUCAGAUUCUAGCAAUGCUGUUUGCCCACUUAAAGCAGAUCGCAGAGAAGAAUCUUGAGAUAUCCAUUUCUGAUUGUGUGAUUGGUGUGCCAUCGUACUUAACGGACAUGCAGAGACGUGCAUAUUUGAAUGCUGCAGAGAUAGCCGGCUUGAAGCCAUUAAGGUUGAUGCACGACUGUACAGCUACUGCUCUGGGAUACGGUAUAUACAAGACAGACUUCCCAAGUGGAGGUCCGGCAAAUGUUGUGUUUGUGGAUAUUGGUCAUUGUGAUAUGCAGGUUUCUGUUGCAUCAUUUGAACCUGGGCAUAUGAAAAUAUUAUCUCAUGCUUCUGAUAGCGACUUAGGGGGAAGAGACUUCGAUGAGGUCCUGUUCAGGUAUUUUGCUGCACAAUUCAAGGAACAAUACAACAUUGACGUUUAUUCUAAUUCUCGAGCAUCUUUAAGGCUGAGAGUGUCAUGUGAAAAAUUGAAGAAAGUCUUGAGUGCUAAUCCAGAGGCACCGCUUAAUAUUGAGUGCUUGAUGGAAGAGAAGGAUGUCAAGGGAUUCAUUAAGAGAGAGGAUUUUGAGAACCUGUCAUCGGAAUUACUGGAAAGGAUUAGCAUUCCGUGUCGUAAGGCUUUGCUUGACUCUGGUUUGACUCUUGAGAAGAUCCAUGCAGUUGAGCUUGUUGGAUCAGGUUCUCGAAUACCAGCCAUUUCGAAGAUAUUGAACUCACUGUUUGGGAAAGAACCUAGCCGGACUGUAAAUGCAAGUGAGUGCGUGGCUCGUGGUUGUGCCCUUCAAUGUGCAAUGCUUAGUCCCAUAUUCCGAGUAAGAGAGUAUGAGGUAUGUGUUUCAGUUAUCAACUCAGUCAAAAUUAUUUCCAUCAGUAUAUCUUUCAUGGAUAUCCCACGUUUCCCUGAAAACUUGUUUUAGUUUUCAUUGCAAAUAACAGAAAAUUUAAUCAUUAGAUCUGACAAUGGUCAAUAAGUUGGUCGUUUCUCUAACAUGUCCUUUUGAUCACUUUGAAGUGCUAUAUAACUGAAUAAUGUGAGUUAUGGAUCAACCUUUGCUGUCGUUUUUGGAAGCCUUUGAAGAUAUAACUCAAUUACGCAUUACGACUAGAACUCCUACUCUUUAAGGGGACCAAAGAAUCUAGGCAGCAAACGAGACUAGCAAAUCCAAAACUAUGUCAGCCACUGGUUACCAUGUACUAAAAAAGUCCAGCUCCUGGACAAACUACUUUUGUGUGUGCGCCCAAACACCUGUAAGAUAAAAUGAUAUGAUUCAAUAGCUGACUAGACCUUGAAGUUCUCUUUCAAGUUCUAAUAGUAUCUUCAUGAUGGAUACGCGAUACUGUGGGGCUUGUAAUGAUCAGUUGCCAUAUACUUUAUCUUCCAUAACACAUUCUUAAAACUAAUGACCCUAGAGAUGAUUGUGACUGUGCUAUAGAUUUUUAGUAAUGCACCAUUUAAAAUGUAGCAAACUAGUACGCAUUUGUAAGAUAUAAAUUUGAUGUGUAUAAUUUCUUGGAUAUGAUAGUUGAUCUUUUCUAUUAUUGUUAUGCCUACAAACAAAUUUAUAUGGAAUUUGUGUAAGAAAUUGAUGGAGUAUUAAAUGCUGGUUCUCAUGUUGCGAGCAGAGGAAAACUUCAUGUGAUGAAAUGUCAUGAAUGUAUACACAAUUGUUUUCUUAUAUAUUGUUCUAGAAAAUUUUUACUUGUUCACUUGUAAGUCAAAUAUUUGUUAGGUUAAAAAAAGAAAUUGAUGACAGAUUGAAAUUUUUGCACCAAAACAUUAAUUUUCAGAGGGAAAUUAUUGAUAAUAUCAUAAGUGCGUCAUGCAAUAAUUCAAUCUAUAGAUCAGAUAAUAUCAAAAGUAUGUCAUUUAAUAAUUCAAUACAUAGAUGAAACAACCACUUUUGGUGAAAAAUGCUCGAUAAUAAAUAUAAUUUGCAAUUUUUAUCAAAGAAAAUUGUUGUUUCUUUGCCUAUAUCAUCGUGGUUUAUUAUAAUUAUGGCCAUAACUUUUAGUGGGUACCAUUUGUCAUGUUUUUCGUAUUGACAUCGAAGAGCUGUAGAUUUAGGGCCUGUUUGGAAACGAUGUUUUCUCCCAAAAAAUUGAUUUUUUUACCUUUAUUUCACUAUUCCAGCCGUCAUAUUUGACUUCUUCUCUAACAGGUGGACCUCAUUUUUCUCCUAACGAUCAAAAAAUCAAUUUUCAAAAUCACUUUCAAACAGGCUAUUAAUGAAUUUUUUGAAGAAGAUACUAUUUACGAAACUUUUCAAUAUGGUGUUUGCCUGGUAAGUGUCCAAUCUAUGUAGUUCAAACAAUUUAGAAAGACCUUUUGGCUCAGUUGUGCACUCUUGUUCCUAAGAGCAUUUUUAAGAGACUCUCAUUCUAUAAUUUAGAGAGUAUCUAUAAAUUUAGAGAGUAAAAAUUUUGGAGGACUCCAAAAGGCUUUUUAUAUUUAAUACUUAAUUUUAUUACUUCCAAAAAAUAUUUAUUAUUUUUCUUUAUCUUUUAUUUUAACUAACUUUUCUUUAUCUUUUAUUUUAACUAACUUUUAACUUUUCUCUUUAAAGUAGGGAGCAUCCAUAUCUAAAGAGUCUCUUAGAGAUGCUCUAAGAGAUUGGUUUUUCUGUACAUGAAUCUUAGGAAACAACUCUGAAUUAGCUUCCCAAAAUACCCCUACAACAACACCCCAACACCCACUUACCAUGUUCACUUGCCCAUACAAACCGUAACCACCUAAAACGAAAAAAUAGUCUGUUGCUGCACUAUUUGGUUAAAUGUGAUAACUAGUUUGUUGAUCCAUGAGCUGUAGCUCCUUUUGAAAAAGUACGAGAUAAUAGGAGCAUGGAUGGGACCACUCUAGCCAUUAUCUGAUAGAUGACCCAUUCAUUUCUUUAUAAUGAAUGUCAAUCUGUAAAGCCAAGAAUAAAGAUCUCACUUGAGAGAGAAGUAGCUUAAUCAUGUUGUUCUUCAGCACCUCGAGAUCCUUUAUACUGAAUGGAAAAGUAAAUAUCUUCACAAAUAAAAUGUUCCUGAAUGCAUUUGUAGGGAUAUUGCUCAAUUAUUUUUCCCUUACAUUUGACAGUUUGCAUCUUUCGUUUGCAGGUGCAAGAUUCAUUUCCAUUUUCUAUUGGAUUUGCUUCUGAUGAAGGGCCGAUCUGCACAGUGACAAAUGACACGUUGUUUCCUAAGCUGCAUCCUUUUCCAAGUCUAAAGAUGCUUACUUUGCACCGAAGUGGCACAUUUCACAUGGAAGCCUUUUACACGAACCAGAAUGAGUUGCCUUCAGGUGUAUCUACAAGAAUCAGCUCUUUUACGGUAUAUAUGGAUUACUUUGUGCAGUUUUCUUCUACGGUUUCUGCACCUAGAGUUGACCAAUGUGCAAACUUGACCUGAAACACAACUCUUCCCUGUAAGGGGAAAAGUUAUUUUUCCUUCUUUGGAUUUCAAACCUUGGAUAGUUCACCAUGUGGUCUUGGCUUUAAUUUGCAGAAGAUAAUUGCUCAGAAACAUUGCACAUUUGAAAAAAAACCUUUAUAAGGAAUAUCUUUAUUCUGGAUCAUUAAUUUUAACAAAUAACAUAUUGUCAUGAUACAUUGUUAUCAAGAAAACAGAGAUCUAAACCAAUUGUAUUAUAGAUGAAAAUCAAAUAAAUUUUUCGUAUAAAUGGGGAAAUUAUUUAAUAAAUUAGUUAUUUGAAGGUACCAUGGAUGUUUGGGGAUUAUCAAACUCUAGUGUAGAUAUAAUGUUACUACAUUAAUCUGGUCUCAUAAGUGAAAGGUAGCACCUUUGAAGACGAUGAAAUUAGAAAACCAAUUGAUUCGUACAGAAUUCCUAUUGAAGUUUGAGCUUUCCAUUUUUCCCGUCUUGCAUAAAUUUCUUUGAAUUAAUUAUUGUAAGGCUUUUAUUGUUGCUUGACUUCUAUUUUGAAACAAACUACUUCUUUUUUCUUUUUCUUUUUCUUUUCCUUUUCUUUUUUAGAUUGGUCCAUUCAAAGUUCCUCAUUUGGAAAAGAUGAAGAUUAAAGUAAGAGUCAACUUAAACCUCCAUGGAAUUGUUACCAUAGAGUCUGCUUCGGUAGGUAUAAGUUAUAUUUGUAAUUCUUUGAAGUUUAUCAAGUUAUUAGGGACUAUGGAAAAUGAGAUGCCUAUUUUUAGUGUAAGCUGUACUGUCUUGGCAGCUGGUGGAGGUUAAUUCGAAUGAUUCUACUAAGAAGAAUGAUGGCACUCUCUCAGACAAGAUGGAGCCAACCAAACAAGAAUCUUCCAGCAAAGCAAAUGGGGCUGCUGUAAGUUCAGUUAAAACAAAUGAUCUUUCAAAAUUUUCAUUAAUUGUCAAGUUGGAUCAUUUAAAGCUCUCCACUAUGUUUGAGAGAGAAAAUGUUGGCUUGCUUGAUAUUAAAUGUAGCACUAAUUACUGUGCUUUGACCCUUAAGAAUUUCUGCUAUUUAUCUUGUUCACAAGACCACCCUUACACAACUUUUCAAGAUUGUAGCUUGUGAUGCUCGGACUCUCCAUUCCGGUCGGAGUACCCAUAUCGACACGAUACAAGUACGGGUAUGAAAUAUGGGGCGUAUACAACACUUUUCAACUUGGACCUUGCUGGAUGGAUAGUCCAGGGCGCGGGGCCCACAGGCACCCCCUCCAAUAGGAGGGUGCCAAUUAGGCCCCCUAUUUGGAUAGGGCCUACGUGGCCUUGUCUAAGAAGAUUUGUCCUUUCAACUUGACACAACAGGAUGGAGAAUGGCAUCUAGGUCUUCCCUUCUUCUUUCCUUUUUUCUUUUCCUUUUCUUCUCUCCUGUUUCUGCUCUUCGGAGGGAGGGGGAGGUUCGGUGGCGUCAUAACCAAGGAAGAAGAGGCCUCAGGCGGCGUGGCUGAAGCAUGUGGAGGGUCGGAGUAGAGAGAAGGAAGAGAAAAUCGAAGAGAGAGAAAGUGAAUGGAAAAUAAUGACCUUCUAGGUUAAUAACUGGUCUUUUAUUAGGCUUCAAGGUUAAUAAUAGACUUUUAUUUCUAUGCAUGUAGACUUAUGAUUUACAACUUUGUUUGGCUCAUUUAUUUUUUAUUUAAAAAAAAAUAAAAUCUUAAAACUUAUUAUUAAUUUUUGAAAGUAUAUAUUUAUACAAUAACUUAUUAUUUUAGUAUAAAUUUUUAGUUAAUUUUAAGCGACAUGUUCUAUUUUUUAACAAUUGUCAUUUAGUUAUCAUUUAACUAUUUACAUGUGAAUUGUUGAAGAAAAAAUUGAAGUUUGAGAGAUGCACCGAAAUUUGGACUCUUUUCAGCUAUGUCUCUGUAUCCUACAUUUCAGAAAAUAAAAAAUCCAACACUUAAAUACUUACCCAUACCCGAGCUCGAGCAUCAAAGAAGCUUCCUCAAUUUUGAAUUAUAAACCAUAGCUUUCCUCAAUUUUGAAUUAUAAACCACUGACUUGUAUAUGUAAUGUUAACUAACAUUUUUAUGCUCAUCUGAACUAAGGGGGAAAAAAGAGAGAGAAACUUCAUUUAAAAAUACAUCAACUCUGUGCAUGUUGAGUAAGAUUUGCAAAUGCUUAUCAUUGUCUUGUUAGUUGGCAAAAUUUUGUUACACUCUUAUUCCAUGCUUAAUAUUUCAGCACAUAAUCACACUGGUUCAUUGGUGAUCCCCUGUGGUUAAUCCAUUUUAGAAGGGCUCAGAAUAAACUGUGAUCCAACUUCCAAGCAAACCAGACUAGUUAUUGCCAUCAUUAACAUUUUCUUUUGGACUCAAGCAAUCUGAACUUCCUUGUUUUGCCAUCAUGUUUCCUUAAGUGGCUUUCUACCCUUAAAACUCUCAUAUUUCCUUCUUUACAAGGUUUAUUUGGCACUUAACCAUCACAUUCUACGUCAAGUUAAUGACUCCAUCUUUAUCCAGUUUACUCUUCUUCGAACCUUAAAGUAACAUAAGUUCAUCCCUUUAUUUUCCACCAUCUAGUUAUAUAAUCUUUUACCUUUUUACUCUCUUCCCUUCUUUUCUUAAUGACCACAUCAAGCAUCACUAAGCUAUGUUUCAUAGUUAGGCUUUUGCAAGACACCCAUCUUAUGAGAAUGAAAUCUAUUUUUCUAUGCUUUUGCCUAUUAUUAGCUAACAAGUGAAAUUCUUUCUUUCUGAAGCAAGUAUUCACUAAUAUUAAAUCACAAGCCAUCAUAAAAUACGGAAAAGUGAUGCCUUCUACAUUCUAUGUUUCAAAUCUAAAAUUUCCAUGAGGCGUUUCGUAAUCGUAAUUACCUUUUCCACAUGUAUGCUGGAAAUCCAAAGCACUGGUAUCUCCUUGUGCAGGCUGUCACACGGCAUGAUAUAACCAUUGACGAGAAUAUAUAUGGCGGAAUGACACCCCACGAACUCUCUCAAGCCCAAGAAAAAGAGCUUCAGUUGGCCCAGCAAGACAUAAUGAUGGAGAGGACUAAAGAUAAGAAAAAUUCACUGGAGUCUUAUGUAUAUGAAGCGCGAAAUAAGGUACAAAUUUAUGCUUUACCUGGGAUAAAAUCAUUUAACCUGAUUUUAUUAUUUAUGGUAUAACAACUUAAUCUGAGGAAAAAAAAUGUCAGUGCCACACUGACACUACAAGUAGAAAACUUUUUAUGGUUUUGUGUCAUAUAGAAGUUAUCACCAGCAAUGCCAUAGUAACUUGGGCAUUCCUUGAUGCUCAUUUUUUCCAAAAACCUACAUGGUGCACUAUUUGAGGGAAAAUAGCUGGAUCUGAAAUUCAAAAACAACAGCAGGGCAAUUUAAGCAAUAGAAUGAUCAAUGUGUAAACCCACUUCUAUUAUUUCGGCUGCUGCUUCAUUUGAAGCAUGCAGUAACUGGCAUAUUGUUAGAGACGCCUUUUCACCUUUCUUUAAUAUUGUGAACUCUGUUCUAGUAGUUAUAAUUGCAGUCAUCCUUUCAUGUAGAUUUUGACGAAUUCUGAUGAUUUUGGUAAUUAAAGUUUUGGGUUUUUUAGAUGCCGAAGUUUCUUUACUUGUCCUUCUUUUGAAAUCAUUAAUGUAAAAGAUUUUCAAGAUUCCCAAAACUAUGUCCUUGUCUUUCAGUCUGAUAUCUCGAGCGUGGCAUUCUAUAAUGUGGAAAGUGAAUUGUAGUUCAGUUCAUUGCCUUUAGUGUUUCUUACAUCUUUAAGAAUGAGUAAAAACAUUUGAACAGAUUUUAAACGAGUAUAGAAGCUUUGCAACUGAUUUAGAAAGGGAAGGGAUCUCCAAUAAUUUACAACAAACUGAGGAAUGGCUCUAUGAAGACGGAGAUGAUGAGUCUGAAAGUGUUUAUACAGAGAAAUUAGAGGAUCUGAAAAAGGUUCUUUUGACUUCCUGUUUAGAGUACUCAAGUUUAUACUUCUUUUGAGAUUUAUAGACAGCCAACACUGGAAAAAAAUAAAAAUAAAUAAAAAUUAAUAAAAUUGUUCAUUAGAUUGUGGAUCUUGUUGAACAUCGAUACAAAGAGGAAGAAGCCAGGGCACAGGCAACCAGAAGUCUACUAAACUGCGUAGUGGAGUAUCGCAUGGCUGUAGGAUCACUUCCACCCAGCGAAAGAGAUGUACGUUCCCUUCUUGUAUGAUUUUUUUUUUUUUUUAAUAUGAUUAGCCGAAAGAGUAAUUAUGUGGUGACUUUUAUUUUGCAGGUCAUUGAUGAAUGCAAUAAAGCAGAGCAGUGGCUUCGAGAAAAAACCCAAGAGCAGGAUUCAUUACCCAAAAAUGCAGAUCCAAUACUCUUGUCAAGUGAAAUCAAGAGGAAAGCCGAGGCUCUGGAAGCGUAUGUCUCUGAACUUAUUGAUCGUAGUCAAUUGCUUUGCAACUCAGUUUAUAUAUAUUUGGACCAACCAAAAAUGAUUAAAAUGUUCUGUAAAAUCAAUGUUGAACAUGCCUGUUGCAAUGUUAAUUAGAAAUUUCUCCUCACGGUUGAGUACUGUGUACUGUGUCAAGUGCUUUACUGAGUUUCUAUAUUUCUGUUAUUGCUUAUUUCCAGUGAAAUGUGAAUGCUGUUAAUUUCACGAAAUUCAUUUUCAGGAUUUGCAGACAUACAUUGGCGUCCAAGUCUUCAUCUGCAAGGCCCGAGGAAAACAGAGAAUCAGAGACGAGAGAUCCAACGGAUGAUAUUCAUGCUGAUUGAUGUGAAUCUAGCAAGAUUGUGAUACUAAAAGAGCUGGAGUACUAGAAACAGCUAGAUCAAUCACCGCAGGAUUAAUUUGGAUAUAAUUCUUAAGACUACUCACUGCAAGCUGUCAUUCUCGCACGGAACUCGUAAGUUAUUAUUCUUAGUUUUUAUUUUCUGUUAUAUGUUAAUUUUCCUCUGAGAUAGAAUAGUGUGCUAAUUCAACCCAAGUUACAGACACUUGUAUACUACUACUCUCUCUACUGUCCCCCUACAACAGUUCUUACAGUACAUUCAACACGGGUCAAUUCCUUGACGCUGUAAUAGAAGUUAGAGUCCUCCAUAUUUAAGCACCCUUGAUGGAUGUAGAACAGAAAAAUUCUCCUCAAGGGAUUAGUGGCUUGACAUUUUUAUCUUCAUGGCUGCAUUUUGCUUCUUCAACCAUGUCUUCUAAUUUAGCAUAUUCCACCAACUGUUCAAAUUCUGUUAUAAUAACAAUUUCUUUUCG